rnacentral:rRNA from 1 species
CUCUCGGCAACGGAUAUCUAGGCUCUCGCAUCGAUGAAGAACGUAGCGAAAUGCGAUACUUGGUGUGAAUUGCAGAAUCCCGCGAAUCAUCGAGCUUUUGAACGCAAGUUGCGCCCGAAGCCACUCGGCCGAGGGCACGUCUGCCUGGGCGUCACGCACCGUUGCC